AACUGAAUUUAAAUAAAGAAUUUAAUAAUAGAAAAAAAAAAUAGCGCCAUAGCUGCAAAACAGGAGGAAAGAUUGUAUUUUAGAAAUAAAUAGCAGCAAGUGUAGAAAGAAAAGGAAAGCAUUUUGGUUUUAUUUUUUUAAGCAGCAUAAUAAUUCUGAUACCAACAUCUAAUAUAGAUGGCAAACAAAACCACAAAUCAACUUCACUUAAGAUCAUUGAUUUCCAAACCCUAAACAGUUUUUAAGGAAUGCAGGGAACAGUCAGCAUUACUCUGUUGAUGUAAUUUAUCACCAUGCUGGAUUAAAGGAAUUCUCCGUAACCAUUCAAAUAUAAGGUAUAUGUAUAUGUGUGGAUAUGGAAACAAAUCACCCAUUUGUAUUAUUAAUUUAAGAAUGCAAGGUCUAGAACUAAAUACACUUUGUUCCUGUUUGUGUCAGAAAAAAUUUUCUCUAUGUGGAGAACACAAGUUCUAUGUUCUACAUAGAACUAUGUGUGUAUGUGUGUAUGAGCACACACAUAGUUAUGUUUAUUGUAUAAAGAUAAUUUCUGCAAGGAUAAGAGCAACUUUUACAGUGAUUGACUCUAGAAGGAUUAGGGUGGAGGGAAGAUACUCUUUAAAAAAAUUUUUUUUUUUUUACCAUAUCAGUUUUUAAAUUGUGUGCAUUUAAUUCUUUUAAAAUAAAUUAGUUUUAAAAUGGCAAAUCUGUGUCAGAAUAAUCUCUCCAAGAGUUUGGUAAUUAAUUCUCCGGUCCUGUUAUACUGCUUUACUCCACUGAUUAUCAAAGGUGCAUGUAGGCAAGUGUAGAUGGAGGGCACCACAGGGCCAGGAGCUCUAGAGGGAUUUAGCUCUUAAUAGCAGUUAGCAUGUGACUAAUGACAGUUUGUUCAGUCAUUAGGGAACAAUUGAUAAAAAUAAACAAAUUCCAGUAGGAUGUGUGUACAUCUUUUUUACCUGUUCAUCUAUCAGUGGACACAUAGCUUGCUUCCCUAUCUUAGCUAAGUAUUUAUUAUAUUUAACCCUUUACCUACUAGAAAUAUGAGUAUGUAAAUAACAAAUGUUGAAAUUGUUUAUAAUUUUUAAAUUUCUUUAAUCAGGUUUUAUAAUUCAUAACAUCUAAUUCCAAUUUAAUUAAUAAACUGUAGGUUUUCUUUAUGUGUAUAGCCUCUGAGGGCAUUCAAACCAAAGGGAUUUAUUCCUGAUUUUUAAAAUAUAGCUGUCAUAUUUUCUAUGGGCCAAGUCACUAUAUUUAAAUGAGAAUGGAACUGAAGUUUCUUUAUGCCCCUAUCAAAUCACUUUAUUAUUAAUAAGUGUUUCUUGUUAUUGUCUAGAUUGUGUGUAUGGUCUGUUGUCAAACUAGAAGUGAAAAAAGAGAUAGAAAAAGUAAUAGGGGCACCUGGGUGGCUCAGUUGGUUAAGCAACUGCCUUCGGCUCAGGUCAU